AUGUCAGGUUCACGAUGGCAAGGUGCUGCUGCGGCGGCGGUGCGAUCCUUCACAGAUGAGUGGCCACAAUUCUUCUCCAGGGAUAGGAGAUGGACGACGUUACGGAUGAAAAGCCUGCCCGUCUCCAGUCUAUUUUUGCUCCGGAUAAAUUUUGAAUUCAGUGCAGUAGAGAACACCUACAAAAUAAUCACAAGGAUUCAUGAACUCACUUUCGAAUGGCAGAAAUGUGAUGUUCAAUUGGCAUUAACCCGAUUGAUUUCUUGCCUGGGAAGGGGAGACCGAGGAGGAAAUGGCGACCAAGAGGAGCGUGGGCACCCUGGGCGACAAGGACCUCAGGGGGAAGAAGGUGUUCCUCCAUGCCGAUCUGAACGUUUUGCUGGACGACAGCCAGAACAUCACCGACGACAAUGGCAUCCGCGCCUCCAUGCCGUCCAUCAAUUUCCUCAUGGGGAAGGGUGCCAAGGUCAUCCUGGCCAACCAUCUGACUUAGGAUCGUAG
rnacentral:rRNA from 1 species